rnacentral:rRNA from 1 species
AUUGAACGCUGGCGGCAGGCCUAACACAUGCAAGUCGAGCGGAUGAAGGGAGCUUGCUCCUGGAGUCAGCGGCGGACGGGCGAGUAAUGCCUAGGAAUCUGCCUGGUAGUGGGGGAUAACGUCCGGAAACGGGCGCUAAUACCGCAUACGCCCAGAGGGAGAAAGUGGGGGGGCAUCGGACCUCACGCUAUCAGAUGAGCCUAGGUCGGAUUAGCUAGUUGGUGGGGUAAAGGCCUACCAAGGCGACGAUCCGUAACUGGUCUGAGAGGAUGAUCAGUCACACUGGAACUGAGACACGGUCCAGACUCCUACGGGAGGCAGCAGUGGGGAAUAUUGGACAAUGGGCGAAAGCCUGAUCCAGCCAUGCCGCGUGUGUGAAGAAGGUCUUCGGAUUGUAAAGCACUUUAAGUUGGGAGGAAGGGCAGUAAGUUAAUACCUUGCUGUUUUGACGUUACCAACAGAAUAAGCACCGGCUAACUUCGUG